GGAAGCGGGUUGGGUCUUGGGUCUGUUCUGGCCUUGUGGUUCUGGAACCGGAGGGGAAGGGGGAAAGUAAGGGAGAGAGAAAGAGACGGAGAAAAACAGGAAAACUUACUCUUCAGUACGCAGGGAAGAAUAGAGAAAGAAAAACACAAAGAAACGCCACGCAGACUGCAGAGAAGGACCACGAACACACGCUCCGAGAAACACACUCAGCUCGCACGCACUGAGAAGCACACUUAAGAUAAACACUCAGGUCACACACACAAGCACACUAAGAAACAUUCAGUUCACACACACUCAGAAACACACGCACUCAGAAGCACACUCAAGAUAAACACUCAGCUCACACAGAAAAGCACACUCAAGAUAAACACUCAGCUCACACACAGAAGCACACUCGGAGAAACAUUCAGCUCACACACAGAAACAUACUCUGAGAAACACAAUCAGCUCACACCCACUCAAGCACACUCAAGAUAAACAGCUCACACAAGCACAUUCAGAAAACACUCAGAAACACAGCUCACACUCAGAAACACACUCUGAGAAACACAGCUCACACACUCAGAAGCACACUGAGAAACAGCUCACACACACAGAAACAGAAAAACACAGCUCACGCACACUAACACAAACACACACGGAGAAACACAGAAGCACACUCAGCUCACACACACCCAGAGAAACACGCUCAGAGAAACACUCAGAACGCACAGGAAGAGAGAGGAAACCAAGUGGGUGGUCUUGGAGGCCUGGGACCGGGGGAGGGGAAGGAGAGACACUGAGAAGGGGGAGACGGGAGCAGCAGAGGGAAAGAUGCCUGGAGAGAGAAACAGAGAUAAAGGCAGACAUAAGAGGAGGCAGAAAACACAAAGGCCAAAAGGAGGUGGAUAAAAGGACAGUAAAGAGAAACACACACGUAGAGAAU
rnacentral:lncRNA from 1 species